GCUUACGGCCAUACCACCUUAGGCACGCCCGAUCUCGUCUGAUCUCGGAAGCUAAGCAGGGUCGGGCCUGGUUAGUACUUGGAUGGUCACCGCCUGGGAAUACCAGGUGCUGUAUGCA
rnacentral:rRNA from 1 species